UACGGAGGAUGCAAGCGUUAUCCGGAAUGAUUGGGCGUAAAGCGUCCGCAGGUGGCUUUGUAAGUCUGCUGUUAAAGAGUGAGGCUCAACCUCAUAAGAGCAGUGGAAACUACAAGGCUAGAGUACGUUCGGGGCAGAGGGAAUUCCUGGUGUAGCGGUGAAAUGCGUAGAGAUCAGGAAGAACACCGGUGGCGAAAGCGCUCUGCUAGGCCGUAACUGACACUGAGGGACGAAAGCUGGGGGAGCGAAUGGG
rnacentral:rRNA from 1 species